GUGGGGAAUAUUGCACAAUGGGCGCAAGCCUGAUGCAGCCAUGCCGCGUGUAUGAAGAAGGCCUUCGGGUUGUAAAGUACUUUCAGCGAGGAGGAAGGCAUUGUGGUUAAUAACCACAGUGAUUGACGUUACUCGCAGAAGAAGCACCGGCUAACUCCGUGCCAGCAGCCGCGGUAAUACGGAGGGUGCAAGCGUUAAUCGGAAUUACUGGGCGUAAAGCGCACGCAGGCGGUCUGUCAAGUCGGAUGUGAAAUCCCCGGGCUCAACCUGGGAACUGCAUUCGAAACUGGCAGGCUAGAGUCUUGUAGAGGGGGGUAGAAUUCCAGGUGUAGCGGUGAAAUGCGUAGAGAUCUGGAGGAAUACCGGUGGCGAAGGCGGCCCCCUGGACAAAGACUGACGCUCAGGUGCGAAAGCGUGGGGAGCAAACAGG
rnacentral:rRNA from 1 species